UGGGUUGUGGCUCAGCGGUAGAGUGCUUGCCUCGCACGUGCGAGACCCUGGGUUCAAUCCCCAGCACCACAU
rnacentral:tRNA from 1 species